rnacentral:rRNA from 1 species
GAUACCCUAUUAUUAAUUAAUUAAAUUAUAAAGCUAAGUGAUUAAUAGUUAAGUUCUUUAAAACUAAAUAAUUUGGCGGUAUUUUUACUUUUCAGAGGAACCUGUUCUAUAAACGAUAAUCCACGAUUAAAUUAACUUUAAUUAGAAAUUUUUAUAUCGUCGUUGUUAAAUAUUUUUAUAGAAUUUAAUAUUUAAUAAUUUUUUAAAAAUUAAAAUCAGAUCAUGGUGAAGUUUAUAUUAAAGAAGAAAUGGGUUACAUUAAUUUAUAAUUAUGGAUUAUUAUAUUUUAAAAAUUUUAUGAAAUUGGAUUUGAUUGUAAUUAAAUAUUA